ACACUCCUACGGGAGGCAGCAGUGGGGAAUAUUGCACAAUGGGCGCAAGCCUGAUGCAGCCAUGCCGCGUGUAUGAAGAAGGCCUUCGGGUUGUAAAGUACUUUCAGCGGGGAGGAAGGCGAUAAGGUUAAUAACCUUGUCGAUUGACGUUACCCGCAGAAGAAGCACCGGCUAACUCCGUGCCAGCAGCCGCGGUAAUACGGAGGGUGCAAGCGUUAAUCGGAAUUACUGGGCGUAAAGCGCACGCAGGCGGUCUGUCAAGUCGGAUGUGAAAUCCCCGGGCUCAACCUGGGAACUGCAUUCGAAACUGGCAGGCUAGAGUCUUGUAGAGGGGGGUAGAAUUCCAGGUGUAGCGGUGAAAUGCGUAGAGAUCUGGAGGAAUACCGGUGGCGAAGGCGGCCCCCUGGACAAAGACUGACGCUCAGGUGCGAAAGCGUGGGGAGCAAACAGGAUUAGAUACCCCUGUAGUCCC
rnacentral:rRNA from 1 species